AACGAACGCUGGCGGCGUGCCUAACACAUGCAAGUCGAGCGAGGUUAUUCCUUCGGGAAUAACUUAGCGGCGGACGGGUGAGUAACACGUGGGUAACCUGCCUUAUAGAGGGGGAUAGCCUUCCGAAAGGAAGAUUAAUACCGCAUAACAUUGAGCUUUCGCAUGGAAGCUUAAUCAAAGGAGUAAUCCGCUAUAAGAGGGAACCGGGGCGCAUUAGCUAGUUGGUGAGGUGACAGCUCACCAAGGCGACGAUGCGUAGCAGGCCUGGGAGGGUGAUCGGCCACCUUGGGACGGGGACACGGCCCAAACUCCUACGAGAGGCAGCAGUGGGGAAUACUGCACAAUGGGGGAAACCCUGAUGCAGCAACGCCGCGUGAGUGAUCAAGGCCUUCGGGUUUUAACGCUCUGUCUUUGGUGACGAUAAUGACGGUACCCAAGGAGGAAGCCACGGCUAACUACGUGCCAGCAGCCGCCGUAACAC
rnacentral:rRNA from 1 species